GACAGAGGGUGCAGACGUUGUUCGGAAUUACUGGGCAUAAAGCGCACGUAGGUGGUCCGCUAAGUCGCGUGUGAAAUCCCCCGGCUCAACCGGGGAAAUGCGCGUGAUACUGGCGGGCUUGAGAUCGGGAGGGGUGAAUGGAACUCCAGGUGGAGCGGUGAAAUGCGUAGAUAUCUGGAGGAACACCGGUGGCGAAAGCGGUUCACUGGCCCGACACUGACACUGAGGUGCGAAAGCUAGGGUAGCAAACGGG
rnacentral:rRNA from 1 species